rnacentral:piRNA from 1 species
UCGAGUUGUCAUGUCACAUGUGA